rnacentral:pre_miRNA from 1 species
UGUAUUCGGCUGUAUUCGACUGUAUUCACGGCGUGAAACAGGGGAUUACAUUGUUUUUAAACGGAAAGUGUAUCAAUUAAAUAAUAGACUACU